UUCAUCCAGCCCCUUUAUCCGAAACAAAUCUGCAGGUUAUUCCACAAAGCAAUGAAAUAGAUGUCCAAACACCACCUGACUACAAGUCACCUGCUUCAGGAGGACCAGUGUUUAUCUGACUGCAGGUGAAAAGGUCAUUUAACUUUCGAGAGGACGAGGAGAGGGACAAGAAAGGAGGUGAGGACAAAGGAGGGAGGAAGAGGAGUUCCGGUCGGGGUUAAAGCAGCUGGAGGUGGCUUUGGGUUUAUCGGUGCAGAUUUGAAACGUCUGCAGGGCAGGAAGUGAUGUCUAAACAAGACGUCAGGAGACAUCUGGUGAUUCCAGAGACGUGUUUCCGGUUGUCGUGGUGACGCACGAGGAGGAAUCGAGCCCCGUCCCGCCAAGGUCUGAAACUAGCGGACGGCGUCACGCCGAAAUAGAAAGAACCACGAUACCAUGCUACAAUCAAAGCAGUGACGCCACGUCACACUCAUCAGAUUAGGAAUAAGGCCAUCAGCUGAUAUCAACUCCUUAUUUCCCACCAUCGGCCCUCAGAGCCGAGAACCUCAGCAGGAAGCUGGUGGUUGUCGUGCAGAAGAAGAACGCUGCUUCCUCCUUCCCUGCAUUAAACUGUAAUAAGUACAUUUGGAUUAAAGCCUGGCAGCUCGUUAGCGUCUCUCAGGGACGCUGCAGCGGGAGAGAUGGAGGCCGAGGGAUCCAACAGAGCAGGAUGGAUCUGAUCCAAGAAGAUCACAAAUGAAAACAAAGCAGCAAUCUUCUCCUAAAACGCUAAGCGUUUGUUCCCAUUUAUAUGUGAAAGAGUCACUAGGCUGAACAGGAAGUUACUUCCACAAAGAGACUUGAGGGGGAAGUAAAUCUAUCUCGCCAAAUAUUGCCCUGCAGGUCAUUCCAAGAACAGCUGUUCCAGAUGUUCAAUUCCCUGUGUGUCACGUCCUAAUAGUUAGUCAAAACUGAAUGAAAAAAGGGCGUGUCAGCUGACCUGCAGCCAACAUGGCCGCCAGAGGUGUGGAUGACGCACCGCCACCGAGUCAACGGCAGCCACACAUCGAGUUUGGUGCAUUUCAUGUUACACACACACACACACACGCACACACACACACUUUAGGGUGUCAAUUGUGUAUAGUUCUAUGUAUUGAUGUGUGUUUUAGUACUGUAAAGUUCGUCGUUGCUGGAACACGACUUGAAGACAGCUUUGUGGGCAGUUUGGUUUCCUAAAAGAAAAACUACUGACAGGAGUAGGUGGGAGAUAUUGAUUAUCACUAAUGAAAUAAUCAAAUAAUCACAACAGUAAAAAGAUGAAUAACCAUAAAGCAGCUCUUUAAUUCCUCUGCAGGCUGAACACAGGAAUCUGGAGCCGAA